ACGCUGGCGGCAGGCCUAACACAUGCAAGUCGAGCGGUAGAGAGAAGCUUGCUUCUCUUGAGAGCGGCGGACGGGUGAGUAAUGCCUAGGAAUCUGCCUGGUAGUGGGGGAUAACGUCCGGAAACGGACGCUAAUACCGCAUACGUCCUACGGGAGAAAGCAGGGGACCUUCGGGCCUUGCGCUAUCAGAUGAGCCUAGGUCGGAUUAGCUAGUUGGUGGGGUAAUGGCUCACCAAGGCGACGAUCCGUAACUGGUCUGAGAGGAUGAUCAGUCACACUGGAACUGAGACACGGUCCAGACUCCUACGGGAGGCAGCAGUGGGGAAUAUUGGACAAUGGGCGAAAGCCUGAUCCAGCCAUGCCGCGUGUGUGAAGAAGGUCUUCGGAUUGUAAAGCACUUUAAGUUGGGAGGAAGGGCUGUAAAUUAAUACUUUGCUGUUUUGACGUUACCGACAGAAUAAGCACCGGCUAACUCUGUGCCAGCAGCCGCGGUAAUACAGAGGGUGCAAGCGUUAAUCGGAAUUACUGGGCGUAAAGCGCGCGUAGGUGGUUCGUUAAGUUGGAUGUGAAAUCCCCGGGCUCAACCUGGGAACUGCAUUCAAAACUGACGAGCUAGAGUAUGGUAGAGGGUGGUGGAAUUUCCUGUGUAGCGGUGAAAUGCGUAGAUAUAGGAAGGAACACCAGUGGCGAAGGCGACCACCUGGACUGAUACUGACACUGAGGUGCGAAAGCGUGGGGAGCAAAC
rnacentral:rRNA from 1 species